GGCCGGAAGUGGAAGUGCGGACUAAAGACGCAUGCAGCUGACCGGUACUAAUAGGCCGAGGGCUUGACCACAA
rnacentral:rRNA from 1 species